CAGCCGCCGCGGUAAUACGAAGGGGGCUAGCGUUGUUCGGAUUUACUGGGCGUAAAGGGCGCGUAGGCGGACUGAUAAGUCAGGGGUGAAAUCCCAAGGCUCAACCUUGGAACUGCCUUUGAUACUGUUUGUCUUGAGUUCGAGAGAGGUAAGUGGAACUGCGAGUGUAGAGGUGAAAUUCGUAGAUAUUCGCAAGAACACCAGUGGCGAAGGCGGCUUACUGGCUCGAAACUGACGCUGAGGCGCGAAAGCGUGGGGAGCAAACAGGAUUAGAUACCCCGGUAGUCCCUGUCUCUUAUAC
rnacentral:rRNA from 1 species